rnacentral:rRNA from 1 species
CACGUAGGGGCGAGCGUUGUCCGGAUUUACUGGGCGUAAAGGGAGCGUAGGCGGACUUUUAAGUGAGAUGUGAAAUACCCAGGCUCAACUUGGGUGCUGCAUUUCAAACUGGAAGUCUAGAGUGCAGGAGAGGAGAAUGGAAUUCCUAGUGUAGCAGUGAAAUGCGUAGAGAUUAGGAAGAACACCAGUGGCGAAGGCGAUUCUCUGGACUGUAACUGACGCUGAGGCUCGAAAGCGUGGGGAGCAAACAGGAUUAGAUA